UACGUAGGGUGCGAGCGUUGUCCGGAAUUACUGGGCGUAAAGAGCUCGUAGGUGGUUUGUCGCGUUGUCCGUGAAAUUCCCUGGCUUAACUGGGGGCGUGCGGGCGAUACGGGCAGACUGGAGUACUGCAGGGGAGACUGGAAUUCCUGGUGUAGCGGUGAAAUGCGCAGACAUCAGGAGGAACGACCGGUGGCGAAGGCGGGUCUCUGGG
rnacentral:rRNA from 1 species